rnacentral:lncRNA from 1 species
AGUCCCAUAAUGGGAGACUCCCUCUAAAUAAAAAGGAGUUAAGAUGGUGAGUAGCCAAAAAAAGGACAAACGAUUUCUUUAUUAUUUAGAAUAAUGCUAGCAACUGUAACAAACAACCCCCCAAAUUUCAGUGACCUAACAUAAUAGAAGCUCAUUGUUCACUCAUAUAACAUUCCAGUGUAGGUGUUCCUCCACAUAGUGGGCAGCUUUCCUCCACUUGGUGGUUCAGGGACCCAGGCCUCUUCCAUCUUGCGGCCUUACCCACCCUAGCAUCCUCUGUAUUCCACUGGAGAAUGAGGAAGCAGACAAAAUUGGGACUUAGGGCCCACAGCUGAGGACGAUAAAGUUGAGGACCUCAAUUGUUGCAGCCAUCUUCCUCAGGACUAAGAGGCAACAAACCAGCUCUGCCACCACCAGCCACCACCCCAAUCCUCUCUCUCUUCCCAGUUCAUAGAAAAAGAGGGAAGAAAUAGAGAGUCAGAAUCCAGCCUUGUUGUGUGUUUACGGGAAGAGGCUUUUUGUUCUCCCAGGAAAGCUGUGCCUUUCCUCUAUUCUCAUUGCCAAGUAAGGUUGGGGUGGGAGUGGGUGGGAAGAGGAGCCUGACUUCUUGGUUGAAUGUAUUCUUAGGCAGGGGACUUGAUCUGAGCAAAUAUAAAGGAAUUGGAGAGAGAUGUCAAAUGGGAGUUUGGGGUGGGCUAUGAAAUAUUCUAAACUCCCACCAUUUUUCAUUGCAAGGAUGAGUAUUUCCUGUUAAAUAGGCCCCGUGGAAAAUAGCUGGGAUUGAGCCAUUUUGGCAGUUCCCCUCUAAAGGAAGCCAUCACCAGGCAAGAAGGUCCUAGCAGUAAGAGGAUAGAGUGCCAGGAGUGUGACCUGAAGAGCCCUUGGAAGUAGCCAAGCCAGAGAUACCUAUAUGAGGGCAUAUGUUAGUGGAAACCCAGAAGCAGUCCUAGAAAAAUGCAAACACAUAUCUCAAGGGAGACCCUUCAGUUGGAUGCCUGCCACUCAGAACUUCAGUUGUCAAUCAAUGUUAGGCAGAGAAGCAAUGGCAACUAUCAGAGUGAGAACUGCAGUCCUUCCCAGUUGGGCAGACAGUUGUCCACGUCCACCCUGAUCAUUUGCAGGGCCCAUGGCAAGAAUACAAAUGGCAG